GAUGAACGCUGGCGGCGUGCCUAAUACAUGCAAGUCGAGCGAACGGACGAGAAGCUUGCUUCUCUGAUGUUAGCGGCGGACGGGUGAGUAACACGUGGAUAACCUACCUAUAAGACUGGGAUAACUUCGGGAAACCGGAGCUAAUACCGGAUGAUAUUUUGAACCGCAUGGUUCAAAAGUGAAAGACGGUCUUGCUGUCACUUAUAGAUGGAUCCUCGCUGCAUUAGCUAGUUGGUAAGGUAACGGCUUACCAAGGCAACGAUGCAUAGCCGACCUGAGAGGGUAAUCGGACACACUGGAACUGAGACACGGUAAAGACUCCGACGGGAGGCAGCGGUAGGGAAUCUUCCGAAAUGGGCGAAAGCCUAACGGAGCAACGCCGCGUGAGGGAUGAAGGUCUUCGGAUCGUAAAACUCUGUUAUUAGGGAGGAAGAUAUGUGUAAGUAACUGUGCACAUCUUGACGGUACCUAAUCAGAAAGCCACGGCUAACUACGUG
rnacentral:rRNA from 1 species